rnacentral:rRNA from 1 species
UGGGGAAUUUUGGACAAUGGGCGAAAGCCUGAUCCAGCAAUGCCGCGUGUGUGAAGAAGGCCUUCGGGUUGUAAAGCACUUUUGUCCGGAAAGAAAUCCUUGGCUCUAAUACAGUCGGGGGAUGACGGUACCGGAAGAAUAAGCACCGGCUAACUACGUGCCAGCAGCCGCGGUAAUACGUAGGGUGCAAGCGUUAAUCGGAAUUACUGGGCGUAAAGCGUGCGCAGGCGGUUUGCUAAGACCGAUGUGAAAUCCCCGGGCUCAACCUGGGAACUGCAUUGGUGACUGGCAGGCUAGAGUAUGGCAGAGGGGGGUAGAAUUCCACGUGUAGCAGUGAAAUGCGUAGAGAUGUGGAGGAAUACCGAUGGCGAGGGCAGCCCCCCUGGGCCAAUACUGACGCUCAUGCACGAAAGCGUGGGGGAGCAAAACAGGAUUAGAUACCCUGGGUAGUCCACGCCCUAAACGAUGUCAACUAGUUGUUGGGGAUUCAUUUCCUUAGUAACGUAGCUAACGCGUGAAGUUGACCGCCUGGGGGAGUACGGUCGCAAGAUUAAAACUUAAAUGAAUUGACGGGGUCAUAGCUGUUUCCU